CACAGUUAAGACCUUGUGAACACUAGAAUUAUUCCGUGGCCUCUUCACUAUUGAUUGCAACAAUAUCAUUUACCUGAAGUGAUGCGGUGACCACAAAAACCAUGACCAAGACACCAAAUUUCAGCUUCCACCUCUCGGUCCCGAAGAGCCUCUCUCUGUCAGUCCAAAAUUCAGCCACAUUUCCGAAGAGACACCUGUACUUGUGUAUUUUAACGGGGCUAGAAACUGACAAACGGCCCAGGAACCCUGAAGGGCUUCGGGAGGCUCCCAGAAGGGCAGCAAAGUGCCCUCUCAACAUUAGUAAAAUGAAACAAAAGUAUCA